CGGUUGUCUCCUAUUUAUUAACUCGCAUUAACAGUUUUCAAGAACUACAUAAAAACCUUUCUGCUUUCAUUUAAUACACAGGGAAAAAAAAUACAUCAUGAAGGGAGAAUAUCACAUUUUCUGUCGUAAGAACACGGUUCCGGUGCGCACCGAUCGAGCCCCAAGACGUGCACUCGGCCAGAUUCCUAAUAUCAGGUUUACAGCACUCUUCAAAAGACGUUUUCUGUCCGAGACACAUUAAACAAGCUUUAUUUAAUAACGCUCGAUUUGACUUAUCCAAUUUAAACAUUUGCUCUGAUCAGCAACCAUUUGAUCCUGCCUUCGUUUCAGGCAGCAGAAUAAUUUCUCUGGGUUAUUUUUCUUUGGUGCAAGGUUGAUCCCGGAGGCAGAAUAACUUCUCUCAAAUUCUGUGUGUUUCUCUAAUUCGUGCUGCGAGUGGAAAGGGAUAGAGCCAUAAAAAGCCUGUGCUGAAGGCUGCUUUUAUAAUGUUUACGUUGCUCGUCCUCACGUCUGUCUGGCUAAAGACAGGCGAUAUCAUUUAAAAGACCCCUCCUAGCCCGAUAAUUAGGAGAGACCUUUUUCUUAACUUAGAGCAUCAGAACAUGAAGAAAUUCUCAACUUGGCAGUCUUUGCGGGAAUAUAUUUUGCCAUCUGCCAUCUACUUG
rnacentral:lncRNA from 1 species